rnacentral:rRNA from 1 species
UUGAAAGGGAAACGAUUGAAGUCAGUCGUACCUGUGGGGUAAUCAGCCUUUUGGGUGUGAUUUUGUGGAGUGUGAGGAGUUAAACGCCUUCAUGCCUGCAUAUUCGUGCACUUUGGGUGUAUUUACCCGUGUGGUAAGUUAACAUCAAUUUCGGUGGUCAUAAAAUGGCUGGAGGAAUGUAGCUUCGAUCUUGUAUUGAAGUGUUAUAGCCUUCGGUAGAUGUGAUGAUCGGGAUUGAGGAUUGCAACGGAUACCCUUCGGGGCUACCUGUCUGAUCUCUGAUCGUUGCUCUGGUGCCGAAAGCUUGCUUACGGUUAUCAAAGUCGAUGGUCAAUAGGUUAGAACGGGUUAAAUUCGUUAAGGAUGUUGACGUA